CCUUGCAUCACAACGCGUAUUGCCCCAUAGCGUGUUAUGGGCAUUGAAGUCGCCAGUUAAAACGUAUGGCUCAGGGAGCUGGUCCACAAGGUCCUCGAAUUCCUCCAACUCCAAACGAUACUCAGGUGGUAUGUACAAGGAGCAUACUGUGACCAGCUGGUCAAACAGGAUGGCCCUAACGGCUACUGCUUCUAGCAUUGUGCGAAGGCGCAGGUGUUGACAAGCAACAGACCUGCCAGCUAUAAUGGCCACGCCUCCUGAUGCAUUGAGGCUAUU
rnacentral:lncRNA from 1 species